rnacentral:rRNA from 1 species
GGUCAAGAUGGUAAGGGCCCACGGUGGAUGCCUCGGCACCCGAGCCGAUGAAGGACGUGGCUACCUGCGAUAAGCCAGGGGGAGCCGGUAGCGGGCGUGGAUCCCUGGAUGUCCGAAUGGGGGAACCCGGCCGGCGGGAACGCCGGUCACCGCGCUUGCGCGGGGGGAACCUGGGGAACUGAAACAUCUCAGUACCCAGAGGAGAGGAAAGAGAAAUCGACUCCCUGAGUAGCGGCGAGCGAAAGGGGACCAGCCUAAACCGUCCGGCUUGUCCGGGCGGGGUCGGGGGCCCUCGGCCGAAUCCCCAGCCUAGCCGAAGCUGUUGGGAAGCAGCGCCAGAGAGGGUGAAAGCCCCGUAGGCGAAAGGUGGGGGGAUAGGUGAGGGUACCCGAGUACCCCGUGGUUCGUGGAGCCAUGGGGGAAUCUGGGCGGACCACCGCCUAAGGCUAAGUACUCCGGGUGACCGAUAGCGCACCAGUACCGUGAGGGAAAGGUGAAAAGAACCCCGGGAGGGGAGUGAAAUAGAGCCUGAAACCGUGGGCUUACAAGCAGUCACGGCCCCAAGGGGUUGUGGCGUGCCUAUUGAAGCAUGAGCCGGCGACUCACGGUCGUGGGCGAGCUUAAGCCGUUGAGGCGGAGGCGUAGGGAAACCGAGUCCGAACAGGGCGCGUCCGCGGCCGUGGACCCGAAACCGGGCGAGCUAGCCCUGGCCAGGGUGAAGCUGGGGUGAGACCCAGUGGAGGCCCGAACCGGUGGGGGAUGCAAACCCCUCGGAUGAGCUGGGGCUAGGAGUGAAAAGCUAACCGAGCCCGGAGAUAGCUGGUUCUCCCCGAAAUGACUUUAGGGUCAGCCUCAGGCGCUGACUGGGGCCUGUAGAGCACUGAUAGGGCUAGGGGGCGCCUACCAAACCCUGUCAAACUCCGAAGGGUCCCAGGUGGAGCCUGGGAGUGAGGGCGCGAGCGAUAACGUCCGCGUCCGAGCGCGGGAACAACCGAGACCGCCAGCUAAGGCCCCCAAGUCUGGGCUAAGUGGUAAAGGAUGUGGCGCCGCGAAGACAGCCAGGAGGUUGGCUUAGAAGCAGCCAUCCUUUAAAGAGUGCGUAAUAGCUCACUGGUCGAGUGGCGCCGCGCCGAAAAUGAUCGGGGCUUAAGCCCAGCGCCGAAGCUGCGGGUCUGGGGGAUGACCCCAGGCGGUAGGGGAGCGUUCCCGAUGCCGAUGAAGGCCGACCCGCGAGGGCGGCUGGAGGUAAGGGAAGUGCGAAUGCCGGCAUGAGUAACGAUAAAGAGGGUGAGAAUCCCUCUCGCCGUAAGCCCAAGGGUUCCUACGCAAUGGUCGUCAGCGUAGGGUUAGGCGGGACCUAAGGUGAAGCCGAAAGGCGUAGCCGAAGGGCAGCCGGUUAAUAUUCCGGCCCUUCCCGCAGGUGCGAUGGGGGGACGCUCUAGGCUAGGGGGACCGGAGCCAUGGACGAGCCCGGCCAGAAGCGCAGGGUGGGAGGUAGGCAAAUCCGCCUCCCAACAAGCUCUGCGUGGUGGGGAAGCCCGCAACCCCCCGAAGCCAGGGAGCCAAGAAAAGCCUCUAAGCACAACCUGCGGGAACCCGUACCGCAAACCGACACAGGUGGGCGGGUGCAAGAGCACUCAGGCGCGCGGGAGAACCCUCGCCAAGGAACUCUGCAAGUUGGCCCCGUAACUUCGGGAGAAGGGGUGCUCCCUGGGGUGAUGAGCCCCGGGGAGCCGCAGUGAACAGGCUCUGGCGACUGUUUACCAAAAACACAGCUCUCUGCGAACUCGUAAGAGGAGGUAUAGGGAGCGACGCUUGCCCGGUGCCGGAAGGUCAAGGGGAGGGGUGCAAGCCCCGAACCGAAGCCCCGGUGAACGGCGGCCGUAACUAUAACGGUCCUAAGGUAGCGAAAUUCCUUGUCGGGUAAGUUCCGACCUGCACGAAAAGCGUAACGACCGGAGCGCUGUCUCGGCGAGGGACCCGGUGAAAUUGAACUGGCCGUGAAGAUGCGGCCUACCCGUGGCAGGACGAAAAGACCCCGUGGAGCUUUACUGCAGCCUGGUGUUGGCUCUUGGUCGCGCCUGCGUAGGAUAGGUGGGAGCCUGGCGCCGGUGAAAUCCACCCUGGCGCGGCUGGGGGCCUAACCCUCGGAUGGGGGGACAGCGCUUGGCGGGCAGUUUGACUGGGGCGGUCGCCUCCUAAAAGGUAACGGAGGCGCCCAAAGGUCCCCUCAGGCGGGACGGAAAUCCGCCGGAGAGCGCAAGGGUAGAAGGGGGCCUGACUGCGAGGCCUGCAAGCCGAGCAGGGGCGAAAGCCGGGCCUAGUGAACCGGUGGUCCCGUGUGGAAGGGCCAUCGAUCAACGGAUAAAAGUUACCCCGGGGAUAACAGGCUGAUCUCCCCCGAGCGUCCACAGCGGCGGGGAGGUUUGGCACCUCGAUGUCGGCUCGUCGCAUCCUGGGGCUGAAGAAGGUCCCAAGGGUUGGGCUGUUCGCCCAUUAAAGCGGCACGCGAGCUGGGUUCAGAACGUCGUGAGACAGUUCGGUCUCUAUCCGCCACGGGCGCAGGAGGCUUGAGGGGGGCUCUUCCUAGUACGAGAGGACCGGAAGGGACGCACCUCUGGUUUCCCAGCUGUCCCUCCAGGGGCAUAAGCUGGGUAGCCAUGUGCGGAAGGGAUAACCGCUGAAAGCAUCUAAGCGGGAAGCCCGCCCCAAGAUGAGGCCUCCCACGGCGUCAAGCCGGUAAGGACCCGGGAAGACCACCCGGUGGAUGGGCCGGGGGUGUAAGCGCCGCGAGGCGUUGAGCCGACCGGUCCCAAUCGUCCGAGGUCUUGACCCCUCC